rnacentral:rRNA from 1 species
AGGGUUCGAUUAUGGCUCAGGAUGAACGCUAGCGGCACGCUUCAUACAUGCAAGUCGAGGGGCAGCAUAAAUUACUUGUAAUUUGAUGGCGACCGGCGAACGGGUGCGUAACGCGUAUGCAACUUACCUUUUACUAGAGAAUAGCCAAGAGAAAUUUUGAUUAAUGCUCUAUACUCUUAUUAACUCACAUGAGUUUUUAAGAAAAGCUCCGGCGGUAAAAGAUGGGCAUGCGUCCUAUUAGCUUGUAGGUGAGGUAACGGCUCACCUAAGCUCCGAUAGGUAGGGGUCCUGAGAGGGAGAUCCCCCACACUGGUACUGAGACACGGACCAGACUUCUACGGAAGGCAGCAGUAAGGAAUAUUGGACAAUGGAGGAAACUCUGAUCCAGCGAUGCCGCGUGAAGGAAGACGGCCCUAUGGGUUGUAAACUUCUUUUAUACAGGAAUAAACCUAUCCACGUGUGGAUAGCUGAAGGUACUGUAAGAAUAAGGAUCGGCUAACUCCGUGCCAGCAGCCGCGGUAAUACA